UGUUAAGAGGAAAAUUAAUAUAACCAUAUUGAAGCAGCUCCUGAAUUAUACAUGAAGGAAGUUUGGGGAAGAUUGGUGGUUUCUGCAGCCUCCGUGGAACCGUGGUUCUGAAGAAUCUAGGAACCAAGGCCAACACUGUUGUGUAGAUGGCCCUAUUAAAUAUUUUGGAUAUGAAAAGAGGGAGGGUUUAUCCUACCUUCUGGUGCGGAUUCAUCUUCCCUGAUUAUCCAGAGAACUUUCUUUAUCUUGUUUCUGAGAACUAAUUAACAUGAUGUCAUCAUCUCAAGAUAAUCAAAAUCCCUUCAGAUUACACUGUGAUAUGGAACAGAAAAGUUGCGGUAGCCCCAUGGAGAGAGAGUGAAUGUGAAUGCUUUCUUAUCCAGGUGAUUGAAAAUUGCUUUUGAUCCUCCUUCCUGAUAGAGACGAAAGACAGCACGUACUUUAGACUAAUAGCCACAUUCCGGAGCUCGUGUUAAUCUGUCCGUACAAGGUUAAUCCCUCUGCAUGCCUGGGGCACAUGGAACCGCCCCACGGUUAGGUUCAGGGUGGUUCACUCUCACCUGCCAUGAUCCGUCUCGUUUUUGCAAUGGCCAGAUUUUGGCCUGUGAUGGGGCCUGUAUUCCCUUUGUCUUUGAGGCUACAAUUCUACCUGGAUACAGUACAGUAUUUUGAUUAGUUAAGGCGGUUUCAGGAGCAUUCAUUUGGCUCUUCUUACCAUCGUGAAUUUUACUUCACAGGACAUACAACCAAUGCGUGUGCUCUGCCAGCAGCCAGGUGGAGCCAUCAUGACUUUAUAGUCCAAGACCAGAGAGAUGACAAUGAGGAUCUUCAGAGGACAAAAGCUCACCAGUGAGCUUCUCGGUGAUGCUGGAGCCCAUCUGACUAAUAAUAAUACAGGAUGUAUUGCUUUUGUGAGAGGAGUGAUCUCUGGGCCCUCUCCAGGACCAUACUCAGCUGGGUUAUGGCUGACUCCCUACACCGGUGAUUUGGAACCUAAAGGGUGUUACACAGAGACUUGAAUUGGAUGAAUGUGAGCGUGUCAGUGACAAUUUCCUAGGUUGGCGACAAGUUCAUCAGCACCUAGAGCAGCCCCAGAUCCGGCGCUCUCAGUUCCCAGCACUGAAGAAGGUCCUGUGGAACACGUUUGAACAAUGAGCACUAACAAGCAAGGGCUGGGAGGGAGGCCCUCGGCUGCGUGGAUCCGACCCCGGGGAAGGGCGCAGCCUUUAAAUUCCGAGCACCUGGAGUGGAGGCAGGAU
rnacentral:lncRNA from 1 species